rnacentral:lncRNA from 1 species
CGGGCGGUGAUGGUGGAGGCUGUAAGAUUUUGCGAAGUUGCGUCCAAAAUUGCCGCGUGAAUAGCACGCAUUCUGGGUUUUUAAAUUUUAAAAAAUGUUAAUUAAGGAGUGUUACUAUCAAGGUAGAUAUAAUAAUCAAACAACUUGUGAUGGUGUGUCACUUUAGAAUAAUAAGAAAAUGUUGUUGAUGAGUAUGGGGAUGAUUUUGGUCUUUUC